rnacentral:rRNA from 1 species
GACGAACGCUGGCGGCGUGCUUAACACAUGCAAGUCGAACGGAAAGGCCCUGCUUUUGUGGGGUGCUCGAGUGGCGAACGGGUGAGUAACACGUGAGUAACCUGCCCUUUACUUUGGGAUAACUUCAGGAAACUGGGGCUAAUACCGGAUAGUAGCUCCUGCUGCAUGGUGGGGGUUGGACAGUUUCGGCGGUUGGGGAUGGACUCGCGGCUUAUCAGCUUGUUGGUGGGGUAGUGGCUUACCAAGGCUUUGACGGGUAGCCGGCCUGAGAGGGUGACCGGCCACAUUGGGACUGAGAUACGGCCCAGACUCCUACGGGAGGCAGCAGUGGGGAAUAUUGCACAAUGGGCGGAAGCCUGAUGCAGCAACGCCGCGUGCGGGAUGACGGCCUUCGGGUUGUAAACCGCUUUCGCCUGUGACGAAGCGUGAGUGACGGUAAUGGGUAAAGAAGCACCGGCUAACUACGUG